CCUCAUACUUCUAUCUCUAGAAUAAGCCUCACAUUCAAGUUUGACAGCAGUACAAUCAGUUUUCCAUUCAUCACUGGCCCUGUUUUAACCCUGCUGAAAAAGGGCCUAAUGUACGUGGCAGUGAUGGCAAUUAGGCAGAAAAGUAAUAUUAGAAACAGACAAAAGCCUGAGUCUUUUAGCAUUACAGGUGUUUUUUUUUUUUUUUUAGCCCCUUCUAGACAUAAAGGAAUAGGCAGUGUUGUUAAGUUCCCUUCUUCAGUCUUCUCUUAAGCUGAAAGUCCAACGAUUUCAAGAUUCAAUUAAUUAGAGACAUGGAGAGCCAAAGUACAAGGUGGUGGUGUAAACAGAAAAGAUCAUGGUGUGUCCUGGGCCAUGUCCUUCCUUAGUACCUCUCUCCCUUUCUCUAUGACAAAGGAGUGACAAGAGCAGAGGAGACUUGAAGCAUGUUAGUGCAAGAGAAUAUGGACCAGGAUGGGGAUGAUAUACCUGUACGGAGAACUUGGGAGGCAUUUUCAUAAGCUCAUUGUCAAGUGAAUGUUAAAGUCCCCAUUCACUGAGAAGCAAAGGGUGAAGAAGAGAGAACCUACAUGACUUUUUAGUGCAUGGAUGGAGCAGAGACACGUCUAUGAACCACUGCCUAUGCAAACUGAUUACUCGUCAGUAUAAUUUCUCAGUUUUUAGGAGUAAAUGAGUGCUUCCCACUAUGGAUUUAGCUUGUGCUUCAAUUUAGCCUUCUGCAACUAAAAUAUGUUUGGAAAGCUACAAUGUGGAAGGAGGUAAUUGUUGGGUAAGACAUGGCACUGCUAAUGAUGUUGAUUCUCUGGCUCCAGAGACCUUUGGGAUUAUUUAUAUUGUAAAUUUCUGAUGCUCUACCUCCCAGAUUUGAAGCCUUAUCUCUUCAUUCUAUAUACAAGAAAAGGAAGCCACCCUACAAUAGGCUGAGUAGUCUGGAGCAAAAGGUCAUCCAACAUUAUACAUGCUUGCCUGAGACCAAAGCAUCGAAAGGAAAUCCUCCCCGGCAGUGUUAAGUUGUCUGUUCCCUUCUUGGCAUGUGUGCACAACUUCUUUAACACUAAGGAGAUUUAGACAUGGGUACUGAGGGAGGAAGGGGCUUUAUAAAGUGAAAUGGGGCCUUGAAAUUUCUCAAAGAUACCUUGAAACAGACAAGGAGCAAGUCUAUUCUAAAUAGUAAGAUGGAGCAGGAUAGUAAUGAUGGAGAAAGACAAUUUCUUUUUACAGAUAUAAAACAUUGGGUGAAAUACAACAUAAUUUUCAUAGUUAUUUAAGUGUGGGAGGCACAUAAUUGGUAAGUUAUUUCACAAUCUUUCAAGUGGCAGUGUUGGGCAAUGGGAAAACAGAGGAAAUUUCUCUGUUUUUUUAAUACCAUGUUAUACAAAUUUGAGCAAGUCAUUUAAUUAGGGCUUUGUAUUGCUUAAUUAGCAAAAAUUCAUAGCAUCCACUUGAUUAUAUUUCAAGCCUUUUGAAAUACAAAUAUUGGAUGAUUCUGAGUCACAGUUAUAGUUGUCAAAAGUGCCUACAUGGGUACAAGACAAACGAUAUUCUAACACUGUUAACAUAACAAGUGAUGCAAGAUUAUUGCUGAUACCUGAUUUUUUUAUUGUUAUUUGGGCUCUUAUUCUCCAAGAGGAUAUAUUAUAUUUACUAGGAUGGUUUCAUUCAUUUACUCAUUUGUUUACUCAAAAAUAAUUACUGAAUAUUCAGUAAUUAAUAGUAAACUAAAGGGCAUGUCUAUGCUGUCUGUCAGUAAUUCAGAAACCACUAAGAUGAAAUUUCAAACCUUGAAAAUACUGAUCAUUUGGUGAAUGAAGAUAUACAACAAAAGCAACAACACAACACAGCAGGGGCUAUCAUAAAAAUCGUACCAACAUUUUUAUGGGAAGUGGAGGAGUUGCUCCUAACUUGCCUCAGUGAGGCUAGAAGACUCCAUACAGGAGAUGAUUGCUGAACUAGAUUGACAAUGAAGAUGGGGCCACUUCAAACUCUUGUCAAUAGACUGAAGAUUGCCACAGGAAGGCUUAAAGUUAAUUGAUGUUUUAAAGAAGAUCUUUAGCUUAAACACUUUUCAUGGCUACAAAAAUAUACAUUAUUGUAAAGUUCUGCUUCUACCAUUUUCUUUUGGUAUUGGCUUGCUUUCUUGUCAUCUUUUACAUUAUAUGGGGAGGGAAGGGAAAAAAAUACUAAAUGUGGAGUUGUGGUUAAUAUCAUGACUGCUUUCCACUCAAUUAAUACCACCAUUUAAAAAAUAAUAUGUCUAAUAUAUCUCCAUGUAUAUGUGUAUGAAAAAGUAAAGUAAAUAUAUGUAAAUUAUUAUAUUUUUAAGACAUAACAGAAAAGACAAUGGAAUAUUAAUAAGCCCAAGCAGAGAAAGCUAUACAUCAAAUUAUUUUAAAUAGUUGAGUAAUUCUAAGGCUUUCCAAAAAUAGCUAAAUACUCAAACAUUUUUUUUCCUAUUAUUCAAUUUGUUAGAAGGAUUCUUUUUCUAGCAGGUGUGAACAAGAAGCAGGUAGCAGGAGAGCUUGGUGCACAGAAAAUAUUUGAAACAAAAUCAGAAUUUAAUGAUCUAGGUCAGUGAUUCUCAAACUAUAAUGUGUUUAAGAACUACCUGAAGAACUUGUUAAAGUAAUAAGCCUGGGGCAGGACCAAUUAAUUUUCAAUUUUUACAGAUUCAUAGAUGAUACUGAUGCUGUUGGUUAAGAAACACACUUUAAGAAUCACUUAUCUAGAUGAGUGCUUCUGAUAUUUAGUCUAUACAAAUCCCCUCAAUCUUGUCAUAUUGAAAAUACUUCAGUAGGCCUCAGGUGGGUGGGAGUAUUUACAUGUCAAACCAGCUCAAAGGUGAUGCUUAUUCUGUUUUCCACAGACCCACUGUGGGAAGCAAUGAUUUAGAUGAUCCUCUAUUAUAAGCCCAAGUUGUAUGACAUGGUUUGGUGAUUUCAGAAAAUAACAGGUUCAAAUAAAGCUUUCUAGUUUAUUUCCUGGCCAAAUAAGAUUGUAUCCUUACUAACAAGAUCUAAUAAAGGAUCAAAGAUUCACUGUUUCUUGUAUACAGUAUGAAUAAAUAUUAUCAUUCCAUUGAGAGAAGCAUUUACUGAGCGCCUGUUUCCUGUAUGAAAUGACUGUCCUAGUUACUAAUUAAGUGAAAAGUGGGUUUCUUCUUUUACUUAGCUUCCAUAACUACUCUGAAACCUUAGAAAUGAAACAGUACCCAGAUUGGUCAUUUAUUAGAUUUGUUAUGUUUCCCGGAUUCUAAUACAUUGUAUAUAAGUAAAGAUGGCAAAAAGGACUGUUCUAAUAUCUCAACUCAAAAAAAGAAGAAUUUUUAAAUACUACAUCAGGCAAGGAGCAUUAUCUAGCCCUCCUAUUUAAAAUUUUUAUUUAGUUAGACAAAGUCUAUUGAUACAAAGCAAAAGUUGAACUAAAUCAGUCAUAUGAGCUGCAAAAUAUACUUAAUUUUGAUGAGAUAACAGUUCCUGGUGGAUUAUAUGUGUGUGGGUGUGAGAGAGCCUUACUAAUAAGUGUUGACUGUCUUCAACCCACAUUUUCUCAGUAAUUGAUAAUUCUCCAUUUCUUCUCUGCUAUGUAAACCUUUUAAAAAAUGGAAUGGUGAAAUUAUGGUAAUGAUAAUACAUUAAGAAAUUUGAGAUAGAAAUAUCUAACAGAACAUUCAAAUAAAAAAUGCAAGGAAUAGAAUCUGUAGUAUACAUUUUGGCCAACUUUGAACAGUUUGAAGAAUGCUGGGGAUGCAUACUUUUUUUCUCUUAUGCCCCUCCCAUUCACAAAUUUUCAAGUGAUAUGAUACUGUUAAAUUCUGUAAUUCAGUGACUCAAAAUGAUGUUUGCAUGGUUAGCAGUAAAUAUCUCUAUUCUGCUUAUUUAUGUAUUUAUUUACUUGACUGGACUGGAACAAAUAUGGGUAACUGAUUUGAGUAUUUGUUAAUGCAAAUACUAAAGCCAUUAGCCCUAUAAUUGUAAAAAUAUUUUAAAGUGUUAUAAUAAUUUUAAGAUUUCUUUUUGCCUGGUGUAUGUGGCUUUUAUAUGAUCAUUUAUGAGGAUAAAUGAUUAU